UGGCGGAGUAGCUCAGUUGGUUAGAGCACACGGCUCAUAUCCGUGGUGUGGGGGGUUCGAGUCCCUCCUCCGCUAA
rnacentral:tRNA from 1 species